rfam:Gossypium raimondii Chr11_contig_69, whole genome shotgun sequence.
UAUUAAAAUUUUAAUCUGUUUUUACUAUUAAAAGCUGACGUGGUUGACAAAAUAACCAAAUUAUUACACAUGGCAUGCCACGUAUACCUUUAUGAUGAUGUACUUAUAUUAGUUUUUAAUAGUAAAAAUAGAUGGAAUUUUUAACA